CUGCACCAAUUGAUUUGUCUCGGUUCUGAGUUUUGGGAUUGGUGAACCGAGCCGAUCGGUAGUGUCGUUCCUCUUCUUGUGUUUAGGCUUCAUCAUACGAAUUUCUUAGUUGUUCGGUCUUAUCUCUGCCUUUGCGAUCUGCGAUCUGUAUUAGAAUGUCAUAUUUUGUUAUCUUUGUUUCGUUUCUUUGAUCUAGUUUUCAUAUCAUCUUAUAUGCGUCAUGAUAUCGGCUUCUGUAUGAUUUGGUUUAUGGAUUUCAGUUUUGAAAUUUGGUGAUUGAAUUGGCUCGGGCGUUGUUGAUGCGAAGGCAACAGUUGGUUUGACUGAUCCUUUUGAUACUAGCUUUUUGUUGAAGAUUUGUCUGCCUGAGGCUUUGUUUCUUUUUUGAUUUAUUGGAUCGUCAAUUUGAUGGUAGAAUACCUGCUAUGGUUGUUUUUUGGUGUUAGGUUUUGAAUAAGCGGAAACGAAGCAGGUUUUUGAAGUCCAAGUUACGGAAUCAGGGUCACUUUUUUGGUCUUCUGUAAUUGGUUGGGAGGUAUACUGAACUUUUUGUGUUUUUUUGGGUUUUCUAUGACGAUGCUCCGUCCUCUUUUAUGAGGUGAAGAUUGAUGCGUUUUCCAUCAUGAUCAGUAAUUUGAAUUUUUCUUCUUCAUUCCAGAUAAUGAAAUAGUAUGGGUUUUGAGUAUCUUUCAAGUGAUUCUGAUUAUAAAAAACUUUGUUUCAUUGCCUCAUAUUAUUUGGUAAAUUAUUGAUACUGAGAAACUUAAAGAGUGUGAGCUGAAGUGUCUGUUUUCCAGGAUCUCAUGCAUCGGUGUUUCAGGGUUUGUACAUGCACCAAGAUGGAUAUAUUUUUUUUUUUUUUGCUGUGUAGAAAGGAUGAUAUGGUCUCGUAUUGGUCUUAGUAGUAAAAGGAAGAGUAUUUUACAUCCUUGUAUCAAGUUGCAUUUUUGUGGUUGAUUUUCUGUUAUGUGCUUUUUUCAUGUUCUUUAACUGGCUUUUUGUUUCUUGCUUAACGUCCUGCAGAUUCGUUCAUAAAGGAAUUAUCUGGUUGGUCUAGCAUCUGGAAGUGGCUCUCAAUCCUUUCUUUUUCAAUCUUUAUUGUUGUGCUUAAUCAAUUAUUAAUAGCUGUAUCAAUAGUCUUUUUGUAAAUUGAACUGAAAAAUGGAAGUUUGCUUUCUUAUUUCUUCAGGGGUUGGCUUAUGUCUUAUGUUGGAGAUAUGUAGUAAGCUUGAAUAAGGGGUGCUCUUGGAUUUUAGUUAGCAAUAUUUAUUUUUCUCCCCAAUUUUUUAGAAUAGUGGUAGAGCCUGAUUAUAUUUGUGUGAUUUUCCAGGAUUCUAUCUGUUGUCCAAAAAAAAGUAGAUAUAUAUAUCUAUCCGUAGCGCAAACACUGAACAGGGAGUUCUGUUUAUCCCUUAUUAGAAUUUAUUUAAACCUUACUUCAGAACAAAAUGGAGUUGAUGCUGUUUUUCCAGGAUCGUCUGUGCAUUGAGAAAUUCAUGGUCUCCGCAUGGAACAAGAUCAAUUUGGGGAAUCUUUCAUUCAAUUGGUUAAUGUUCUUUUUUUGAUGAUGUGAUACAUUAGCGGUUGUUAUUUGGAGACGAAUUGAGUGAUGCUAUGUAUUCUUCUCAGCUGUGUGUCAAGGAGGAAACCUUCUGUGCGGUGAUUCUUGAGUUAUUUAUUUAUUUAUUUUUGUUUGUUCAUUAUUACACUAGCAACAGAUCUUUCCAGUAUCCAUAAAUUGUAGGGAAUGGUUUCGUCUAAACUAUCUUUGGAACCUUGUGAAUAGGAAUCAAAAGUGGAGAUUUAGAUGUUUGUUCUGCAACUCUUGUGGGGCUAUGCUCUAGCUGUUUAUAGAGUAGUUUUCUUGGACAUUUGCCAGUAAUUGAUGUUUUGUAUGCUUCCAGUUAUUUGCCUGCUCUGAGCAUGGGUGGUGUGAUUUUUCCAGGUUUCAACCAGUGCAGGAGAAAUAUAGGGAAUGAAUUUAUUUAGUAACGCUCUCAGUGGUUUUAUCUCAUGCUGUGGGGACGAGCUGGCAGAGGGAUAAGGAAGCUACCUACCCCUUUUGGUGUUCCUAUGAUACAAUUUUUCAACAUUCUAAGUUGAUGGUUCAAGAAUUUUAAAUUGAGUUUUUGCAGGGAUUUAUACCAUUUUUGUUUUGAAGAAUGUGUUUUCACGUCACUCAGAAUUUGAAUCGUCCUUUUCAAUGCAUGCCUUGCUCUGAUGUACAGUGGAAUUGUACUGCGUCCCCAGAGGCCUAAGAGACUGAGAUUCCCUUUUGAAUUGAACUAAAGCUAGAGGCUUGCUUUCUUGUUUUCUCCGGGUGGUUACUGUUUUCUGUUGAAGAUGUGAAGAUGUUUUCUUGCGGUUCUGGGACCUGUAUCCGGCUUUUGGGUUGAGAAAGGAGUUCCCUUUGUAUUUGUUCUUGUCAAGUUGGUAUUUUGUGGGUGUUGAUCUGAAGUGUGUUUUUCCUUUUCAUGAUUUUUUUUUUCAUUCUCUUUGUUUUGUGGGUCAGUUUUGCACUUGUUGAAGAUGUGGACUGAGCUUAAACAGAAGGGGUUUUGCACCUUAUCAAUAAUGUAAUUAAUGUUUUUCAUUUUCUAGAUAAUGGUGAAUCCUGAGCAUGGUAGUGUACUUUUCCAGGAUUCAUUUUCUCUUGGGGUCGUGUGGAGAAUAAUGUCAGCAAAGAGUUGAACAGGGAGUUUGUUUCCAGUCCUGUUAUUACAUUAUUGUUUUUCAGUUUCUAGAUAAUGGUGAAUCCUGAGCAUGGUAGUGUACUUUUCCAGGAUUCAUUUUCUCUUGGGGUCGUGUGGAGAAUAAUGUCAGCAAAGAGUUGAACAGGGAGUUUGUUUCCAGUCCUGUUAUUACAUUAUUGUUUUUCAGUUUCUAGAUAAUGGUGAAUCCUGAGCAUGGUAGUGUACUUUUCCAGGAUUCAUUUUCUCUUGGGGUCGUGUGGAGAAUAAUGUCAGCAAAGAGUUGAACAGGGA